rnacentral:rRNA from 1 species
AUUGAACGCUGGCGGCAUGCUUUACACAUGCAAGUCGGACGGCAGCACAGAGACGCUUGCUUCUUGGGUGGCGAGUGGCGAACGGGGGAGUAAUAUAUCGGAACGUACCGAGUAAUGGGGGAUAACUAAUCGAAAGAUUAGCUAAUACCGCAUAUUCUCUGAGGAGGAAAGCAGGGGACCUUCGGGCCUUGCGUUAUUCGAGCGGCCGAUAUCUGAUUAGCUAGUUGGUGGGGUAAAGGCCUACCAAGGCGACGAUCAGUAGCGGGUCUGAGAGGAUGAUCCGCCACACUGGGACUGAGACACGGCCCAGACUCCUACGGGAGGCAGCAGUGGGGAAUUUUGGACAAUGGGCGCAAGCCUGAUCCAGCCAUGCCGCGUGUCUGAAGAAGGCCUUCGGGUUGUAAAGGACUUUUGUCAGGGAAGAAAAGGCUGUUGCUAAUACCGACAGCUGAUGACGGUACCUGAAGAAUAAGCACCGGCUAACUACGUG